UGGGGAAUUUUGGACAAUGGGGGGAACCCUGAUCCAGCCAUGCCGCGUGCGGGAAGAAGGCCUUCGGGUUGUAAACCGCUUUUAGCCGGGAAGAAAAGGGCGAGGCUAAUACCUUCGUUUUUUGACGGUACCGGCGGAAUAAGCACCGGCUAACUACGUGCCAGCAGCCGCGGUAAUACGUAGGGUGCGAGCGUUAAUCGGAAUUACUGGGCGUAAAGCGUGCGCAGGCGGUUCGUUGUGUCUGUCGUGAAAGCCCCGGGCUUAACCUGGGAAUGGCGAUGGAAACUGGCGAGCUUGAGUGUGGCAGAGGGGGGUGGAACUCCUGGUGUAGCAGUGAAAUGCGUAGAGAUCAGGAAGAACACCGAUGGCGAAGGCAGCCCCCUGGGCUAACACUGACGCUCAGGCACGAAAGCGUGGGGAGCAAACAGGAUUAGAUACCCCCGUAGUCC
rnacentral:rRNA from 1 species